ACACACAAAAUCUGAGCUUACAUUUUAGUUCUGUCCUUGAUCAUCUCCUUUCCUUAGGUUAACAAGUUAAUUAGUAAAAACAACAACGAAGAGCCUUGUGGUGCAUUAAAGGCUAAUGCAUUUAUUAAGGCACAAGCUUUCAUGCAUCUGAUGAAGUGAACAGUAGUCUGUCAAAGCUUCUGCCAUAAUGAAUGUAUUGGUCUCCAGACUGACACAAUACUCCUUACUGGUUUUUCUGCAGCAGACUAACAUGGCUACCUUACUAGGAAUAGUAGAAAACUAUGGGUUAUCAAAGAUUUUAGGUUAUCAAAUAUUCAGCUUGAAAGGCUUUUGAGGGCUGAGCCUGAUGGUUCUGGAUUUCUCCUUAUGUGUCUCUUCUCAAUUCCCUUCUAGAAACUGUGGCGACUCUGGGUGGCCCAGAAACAACUUAACUUAGUUGCAGCAAAUUAAACUGAUUCAUUUAUGCACUGAUUAACUAACAUACUAGAUUUGGGCUGCUAUAGUUUCUGAAAUGGGUGUGCUAAUACACUGCUUUAAUUGUAAAAAUAAAUAAAUAAUAAUUUAUAUUCUGAUUUGCGUUAAGCAUUCUUGUUCUGCUGACAAAUUAAUUAUGUAGUUUCCAGGAUUCCACUACUAAUAUUUCUAUGCAAAUUGGGUGUAAGUCAAAAUAUAAAAAUAGUACACCAAAAGUAUUUCCUUCUAUUUUUAGGAAGCUUCUCUGUUGAUAAAAACGCUGUACACAAUUAAAAUAUGUUUGCAUAUAAUUAAAUAAAUUCACAGCCAAUGUGAAAUAAUACUUUAGAACAACGAACAAAGGAGACAGAAAUGGGUAGAACAGGCUCAAAUGACUAAUAUGAGAAACACUGAACAAACAAAGCAAGACAAAGAAUGGGCAGACCAAUAAAAAACAAGACAGUAUUCAUAAGCAAAGCGGUCACUGAUGUUACAAAAGAUACUUGUAUAGCACAUUACAUAAAGACGGUGUCAAUAAUAGCAGAGGGGCGGAUUUUAAAGGCUCCAAUCCUCUACACACAAAUAAAUGAAUAUGGCUCAUUGAAGUCAAUGGGAAGCAGACUUGUGCAGCACUGGACUGCGAUCUGUAACUAAAUCCACUUACCAGGAAGUAAAUGUUACUGAAUUCAGUAUUUCUUAUUACCCCUGUUGGUUGACAUUAUUAUGUUGUGUUGUUUAUUUUGUUUAUUGUGUUAAUAGUCUCAUGGCUGUUAGCUACCCUGAAAGUGUAUUAGUGAAGGGUGGGACACUCCACCCCCCACCCCCCAGCUCUCUUAUUACACUGAUUCUGAGAUAAACUGGAGAGUGGUGAACCACAUGUACCUAUUCUCUCGUAGGGCAGCCUAGGUGCAUGGAGUCCAUAUGAGCCUCCAUUCUAAGUGGGAGUGGAGUUAAAGGCUCUUUGGAAUGAACAUCUGCACUGAAUGAUAUUUUUAAGACUAUUUAAUUGUUACUUUACCUGUAUUUUCCAUUUAUAACUCUCAUAAAACAUACUAUAUACCGUAUUUUUCCGUGUCUAAGACGCUGUCAUGUAUAAGAUGCCCCUUAUUUUUGGGUACUCCAAAUUAAGAAAACACUCCUCGGCACUACCUGUGUAUAAGACGAGCCCCAAUUUUAAACCUAUUUUUUUGGUAAAAAAACCCAAGUCUUAUACAUGGAAAAAUAUGGUAUAUCACAGACCAAAUAACACCCACUGGUGGCAUAAUCCACUUUUGGGUGCCAUUGAUUUAAUUAAUUAAUUAAUUAAUUAAUUAUUAAGUAUAUCCCCCCCCCAGACUAGGUCAGGGCUGAACCACUCAAGGUACCACAAAGUUAGAAAUUUAAAAUAUAUAAAUUUAAAAUAUUUUUUUCUCUUCCACACGCAGUACACAAAUUAAAAAGCUUACAAAUGAGUGGCAAAUAAAAUAUUUUAAAAAUAAUUGGAAAACCUGCAAAAUGAAACUUCAGUGCGAAAAUUAAGGACACACUUACAUUUCUCUUAUUAAAACCAAAAGGCUGUUUUGUUCUAGUUGGAAUGGUUUUACUUGUUUUUAUAAUUGCAACUAUUUUAUUGGUUUGUAUAUUAUGUUAUUGUAACCUGCCCUGGGAACUUGUGGUGAAGGAUAGCCAAGUGCUGAUCUUUGGAUUGUCCAAGUAUGCAUUUAUUUUAAAAAAUUGAAAAUUCCUGAACUUUAUGACAUACAUGAUGAUUUUUUAAAGGACUCCAGAUAGAUAGAUGUAACUUGGUUUCUUAUCUAUUGAGUAUGUAGAGCAAAUAUUACAAAUGAUUAUAACACAAAUGAUGAAUCACUGCUUAGCAACCAGAGCAAACAUCCCCCUCCCCUUUCUGACCACAUUUAAUUGUUGGUUUGACUAACAGAGCAGACCAUUAUGCUCUGGUUAUCAAAUCUGUCCUACCAUUGUUGGAAAAGAAUUAGGUUUUAGAUCACAGGACAUCUUGUAUACAUUAACAUUUCUUUCAUUUGCAUCCAAAUUCAAGAGAUGUUUACUAUGGUAAUAGCAAAUUCACUGAAAUUUAGAUAACACAAAACUCACCAGAAUCAGAAAAAACUCUCAUAUUCAAAUUUAAAGGGGGUCUGUGGACUUCAGAUAAGUGUUCAAACAGUGUUAAAUCUUGAUUAGAUAUAUGGUGUCUAAACU